rnacentral:ncRNA from 1 species
UCCUUGCUACCUUGGGAAGCACCCGACGAGACGCGCCGUACCGGGUGAAGGAAAAGACGACGCACC